rnacentral:rRNA from 1 species
GACUCGUCACACUAUCAUUAACUGAAUCCAUAGGUUAAUGAGGCGAACCGGGGGAACUGAAACAUCUAAGUACCCCGAGGAAAAGAAAUCAACCGAGAUUCCCCCAGUAGCGGCGAGCGAACGGGGAGGAGCCCAGAGCCUGAAUCAGCAUGUGUGUUAGUGGAAGCGUCUGGAAAGGCGCGCGAUACAGGGUGACAGCCCCGUACACAAAAGCGCAUGUGCUGUGAGCUCGAUGAGUAGGGCGGGACACGUGGUAUCCUGUCUGAAUAUGGGGGGACCAUCCUCCAAGGCUAAAUACUCCUGACUGACCGAUAGUGAACCAGUACCGUGAGGGAAAGGCGAAAAGAACCCCGGCGAGGGGAGUGAAAAAGAACCUGAAACCGUGUACGUACAAGCAGUGGGAGCACCCUUUGGGGUGUGACUGCGUACCUUUUGUAUAAUGGGUCAGCGACUUAUAUUCUGUAGCAAGGUUAACCGUAUAGGGGAGCCGGAGGGAAACCGAGUCUUAACCGGGCGUUAAGUUGCAGGGUAUAGACCCGAAACCCGGUGAUCUAGCCAUGGGCAGGUUGAAGGUUGGGUAACACUAACUGGAGGACCGAACCGACUAAUGUUGAAAAAUUAGCGGAUGACCUGUGGCUGGGGGUGAAAGGCCAAUCAAACCGGGAGAUAGCUGGUUCUCCCCGAAAGCUAUUUAGGUAGCGCCUCGUGAAUUCAUCUCCGGGGGUAGAGCACUGUUUCGGCUAGGGGGCCAUCCCGGCUUACCAACCCGAUGCAAACUGCGAAUACCGGAGAAUGUUAUCACGGGAGACACACGGCGGGUGCUAACGUCCGUCGUGAAGAGGGAAACAACCCAGACCGCCAGCUAAGGUCCCAAAGUCAUGGUUAAGUGGGAAACGAUGUGGGAAGGCCCAGACAGCCAGGAUGUUGGCUUAGAAGCAGCCAUCAUUUAAAGAAAGCGUAAUAGCUCACUGGUCGAGUCGGCCUGCGCGGAAGAUGUAACGGGGCUAAACCAUGCACCGAAGCUGCGGCAGCGACGCUGAUGCGUUGUUGGGUAGGGGAGCGUUCUGUAAGCCUGCGAAGGUGGCCUGUGAGGGUUGCUGGAGGUAUCAGAAGUGCGAAUGCUGACAUAAGUAACGAUAAAGCGGGUGAAAAGCCCGCUCGCCGGAAGACCAAGGGUUCCUGUCCAACGUUAAUCGGGGCAGGGUGAGUCGACCCCUAAGGCGAGGCCGAAAGGCGUAGUCGAUGGGAAACGGGUUAAUAUUCCCGUACUUGGUGUUACUGCGAAGGGGGGACGGAGAAGGCUAUGUUGGCCGGGCGACGGUUGUCCCGGUUUAAGCGUGUAGGUGUGUGUUCCAGGUAAAUCCGGUUCACUUUAACACUGAGGCGUGAUGACGAGGCACUACGGUGCUGAAGCAACAAAUGCCCUGCUUCCAGGAAAAGCCUCUAAGCAUCAGGUAACAUCAAAUCGUACCCCAAACCGACACAGGUGGUCAGGUAGAGAAUACCAAGGCGCUUGAGAGAACUCGGGUGAAGGAACUAGGCAAAAUGGUGCCGUAACUUCGGGAGAAGGCACGCUGACA